rnacentral:rRNA from 1 species
AAAGAAAAUUCGAUUCCCUUAGUAGCGGCGAGCGAAACGGGAAGAGCCCAAACCAACAAGCUUGCUUGUUGGGGUUGUAGGACACUCUAUACGGAGUUACAAAGGACGACAUUAGACGAAUCAUCUGGAAAGAUGAAUCAAAGAAGGUAAUAAUCCUGUAGUCGAAAAUGUUGUCUCUCUUGAGUGGAUCCUGAGUACGACGGAGCACGUGAAAUUCCGUCGGAAUCUGGGAGGACCAUCUCCUAAGGCUAAAUACUCUCUAGUGACCGAUAGUGAACCAGUACCGUGAGGGAAAGGUGAAAAGCACCCCGGAAGGGGAGUGAAAUAGAACCUGAAACCGUGUGCUUACAAGUAGUCAGAGCCCGUUAAUGGGUGAUGGCGUGCCUUUUGUAGAAUGAACCGGCGAGUUACGAUUUGAUGCAAGGUUAAGCAGUAAAUGUGGAGCCGUAGCGAAAGCGAGUCUGAAUAGGGCGUUUAGUAUUUGGUCGUAGACCCGAAACCAGGUGAUCUACCCUUGGUCAGGUUGAAGUUCAGGUAACACUGAAUGGAGGACCGAACCGACUUACGUUGAAAAGUGAGCGGAUGAACUGAGGGUAGCGGAGAAAUUCCAAUCGAACCUGGAGAUAGCUGGUUCUCUCCGAAAUAGCUUUAGGGCUAGCCUCAAGUGAUGAUUAUUGGAGGUAGAG